UUAUGGCCUCCAGCGACAGGUAUACGACGUCGUAAAGGUUCAUUCAGAGCAAAAACCCAUCGUUUUUCUUUAACCAUUUCUCCCCAUCGAUUUUCACAAGAAAUUAGAACACAUCUGCCAAGGAAAAAUCUGAGCUUUCAGCGAAUAAUCACUACAUUUCUUCGAUUUUUAGAAAUAGAGUCAAUCGAUUGCUUCAUUUCUAUCCGAUUAUGAAUCUUCAGUUAGUAUGCAACAAGAGACACAUCAAAUUUGAUCCGACUUCAUUACUGUAUUGCUGGAAAGCUUGAAAAGAAAUUACCAUCCUUGUGAAAGGAUUAUUCACUGAGAUGGACGAACCAGCUAAACCUAGCUCAAGCCCGAGCCGGAGCAAACUAUUUUCGCAACCACCAGAACUGCAAUGUCAAACAGCUCGGAGAAUGCUCCUCUGUCUACUUAACUCUACAGGUGUGUGCGUUGUUUGUGAACCGGUGGCUUAAGAAAUGGUAUGAACAUCCUUAAGUUUGAUUUUGCAGGAGUGUCUUCUCAGUUCCAACAGAAAAGAAGUUCAGUUCAUGAAAGCAUGCAAUAGUGGAGAAAUAACUGAGCAGAGUAGAAAAUAAGUUUAUUUAUUCGAUUUUGAGGUAGAAGCAUGUAUUGAUUUAUUUCUUACUUAUGUUUAUAGUAAGAUCA